rnacentral:rRNA from 1 species
AGCCGCCGCGGGAACACCGGCGGCCCGAGUGGUGAUCGUGAUUAUGGGUCUAAAGGGUCCGUAGCCGGUUUGGUCAGUCCUCCGGGAAAUCUGAUAGCUCAACGUAUUAGGCUUUCGGGGGAUACUGCCAGACUUGGAACCGGGAGAGGUAAGAGGUACUACAGGGGUAGGAGUGAAAUCUUGUAAUCCCUGUGGGACCACCUGUGGCGAAGGCGUCUUACCAGAACGGGUUCGACGGUGAGGGACGAAAGCUGGGGGCACGAACCGGAUUAGAUACCCGGGUAGUCCCAGCCGUAAACGAUGCUCGCUAGGUGUCAGGCAUGGCGCGACCGUGUCUGGUGCCGCAGGGAAGCCGUGAAGCGAGCCACCUGGGAAGUACGGCCGCAAGGCUGAAACUUAAAGGAAUUGGCGGGGGAGCACAACAACGGGUGGAAGCCUGCGGUUUAAUUGGACUCAACGCCGGACAACUCACCGGGGGCGACAGCAAUAUGUAGGCCAAGCUGAAGACUUUGCCUGAAUCGCUGAGGAGUGGUGCAUGG